GAGUGGCGAACUGGUGAGUAAAGUGGGAAACCUGCCCAGAAGCGGGGGAUAACACCUGGAAACAGAUGCUAAUACCGCAUAACAACUUGGACCGCAUGGUCCGAGUUUGAAAGAUGGCUUCGGCUAUCACUUUUGGAUGGUCCCGCGGCGUAUUAGCUAGAUGGUGAGGUAACGGCUCACCAUGGCAAUGAUACGUAGCCGACCUGAGAGGGUAAUCGGCCACAUUGGGACUGAGACACGGCCCAAACUCCUACGGGAGGCAGCAGUAGGGAAUCUUCCACAAUGGACGAAAGUCUGAUGGAGCAACGCCGCGUGAGUGAAGAAGGGUUUUUGCUUUUAAAACUCUGUUGUUAAAGAAGAACAUAUCUGAGAGUAACUGUUCAGGUAUUGACGGUAUUUAACCAGAAAGCCACGGCUAACUACGUGCCAGCAGCCGCGGUAAUACGUAGGUGGCAAGCGUUGUCCGGAUUUAUUGGGCGUAAAGCGAGCGCAGGCGGUUUUUUAAGUCUGAUGUGAAAGCCUUCGGCUCAACCGAAGAAGUGCAUCGGAAACUGGGAAACUUGAGUGCAGAACAGGACAGUGGAACUCCAUGUGUAGCGGUGAAAUGCGUAGAUAUAUGGAAGAACACCAGUGGCGAAGGCGGCUGUCUGGUCUGUAACUGACGCUGAGGCUCGAAAGUAUGGGUAGCAAACAGGAUUAGAUACCCUGGUAGUCCAUACCGUAAACGAUGAAUGCUAAGUGUUGGAGGGUUUCCGCCCUUCAGUGCUGCAGCUAACGCAUUAAGCAUUCCGCCUGGGGAGUACGGCCGCAAGGCUGAAACUCAAAGGAAUUGACUGGGGCCCGCACAAGCGGUGGAGCAUGUGUUUAAUUCGAAGCUACGCGAAGAACCUUACCAGGUCUUGACAUACUAUGCAAAUCUAAGAGAUUAGACGUUCCCUUCGGGGACAUGGAUACAGGUGGUGCAUGGUUGUCGUCAGCUCGUGUCGUGAGAUGUUGGGUUAAGUCCCGCAACGAGCGCAACCCUUAUUAUCAGUUGCCAGCAUUAAGUUGGGCACUCUGGUGAGACUGCCGGUGACAAACCGGAGGAAGGUGGGGAUGACGUCAAAUCAUCAUGCCCCUUAUGACCUGGGCUACACACGUGCUACAAUGGAUGGUACAACGAGUUGCGAACUCGCGAGAGUAAGCUAAUCUCUUAAAGCCAUUCUCAGUUCGGAUUGUAGGCUGCAACUCGCCUACAUGAAGUCGGAAUCGCUAGUAAUCGCGGAUCAGCAUGCCGCGGUGAAUACGUUCCCGGGCCUUGUACACACCGCCCGUCACACCAUGAGAGUUUGUAACACCCAAAGUCGGUGGGGUAAC
rnacentral:rRNA from 1 species